UAAGAUUAGCAUUAGCUUGAAACAUCUUCUUGGAUUGGAGAUUAAACAAAUUGAUUCCUAUUUACAGACUUUAGAUCACAUACAUAGUACCAUAGGAAUGAAAGGCAUUCUUUUAAAGAGUUCACUAUAAAUCGAGAAUACCUUUACAUUAUUUUAACUCCAUUCUUUGAUUAUGACAAUUUCUGUAUCUUGUAAAUCAUUUUGGAUCGGUUAUGCUAUUUUUCUGUCUCAUAAAUCAUCACCAUGCCAUCUAAAUUAAUGUUCGACAAUAGAACUUUUUAAUACAUUUCCUCGGUUAAUUCCAAAUCAGUUGAAAAAAUUCAACUUGUAUGUAAAGCAUUGUCUGA
rnacentral:lncRNA from 1 species